GAGAACAAAGAACAAGGCAGCAGCCUGCAGAAUGAGGAGAUCCCUGUGUCCCUCAUUGAUGCUGUGCCCACCAGUGCAGAGGGCAAGUGUGAGAAGGGACUGGACCCUACCGUCGUUUCCACACUAGAAGCCCUAGAAGCUCUUUCAGAAGAACAGCAGAAGAGUGAAAAUUCAGGUUCUUUCACCAUUGUUACAUUUAUUCACUGAUAACCAUUGUCAUCUUAUCCUUUUGAGUCAUUUGUCUGUGAAGUCCUGUUAUAUGUUGUUUCCAUUUCAUACAUGCCCCAUUUCAUAAAUGUGCUGAAUUAACAUCAUGGAGGGUUUUGGUAGGUGGUUUCCUUUGUUGCUAGCUUAAAAAAAUGACAUCCCUCCCCCCU
rnacentral:lncRNA from 1 species